rnacentral:rRNA from 1 species
UACGUAGGGUGCGAGCGUUGUCCGGAAUUAUUGGGCGUAAAGAGCUCGUAGGCGGCUUGUCGCGUCGGAUGUGAAAGCCCGGGGCUUAACUCCGGGUCUGCAUUCGAUACGGGCAGGCUAGAGUUCGGUAGGGGAGAUCGGAAUUCCUGGUGUAGCGGUGAAAUGCGUAGAUAUCUGGAGGAACACCGGUGGCGAAGGCGGCAUCCUGGACCGAGAUUGACGCUGAGGCGCGAAAGCCAGGGGAGCAAACGGG